rnacentral:rRNA from 1 species
AUUGAACGCUGGCGGCAGGCCUAACACAUGCAAGUCGAACGAGUGGCGGACGGGUGAGUAAUGUCUGGGAAACUGCCUGAUGGAGGGGGAUAACUACUGGAAACGGUCGCUAAUAACGCAUAUCAUCGUAUGUGCCCGGAUGGGAUUAGCUAGUAGGUGGGGUAACGGCUCACCUAGGCGACGAUCCCUAGCUGGUCUGAGAGGAUGACCAGCCACACUGGAACUGAGACACGGUCCAGACUCCUACGGGAGGCAGCAGUGGGGAAUAUUGCACAAUGGGCGCAAGCCUGAUGCAGCCAUGCCGCGUGUAUGAAGAAGGCCUUCGGGUUGUAAAGUACUUUAAGCGGGGAGGCGUUACCCGCAGAAGAAGCACCGGCUAACUCCGUGCCAGCAGCCGCGGUAAUAC